UACGGGGGAUCCAAGCGUUAUCCGGAAUUACUGGGCGUAAAGAGUUGCGUAGGUGGCAUAGUAAGCGAGUAGUGAAAGCGUGUGGCUCAACCAUACUCACAUUAUUUGAACUGCUAAGCUAGAGGAUGAGAGAGGUUAUUGGAAUUCCCAGUGUAGGAGUGAAAUCCGCAGAUAUUGGGAGGAACACCGAUGGCGUAGGCAGAUAACUGGCUCAUUCCUGACACUAAGGCACGAAAGCGUGGGGAGCAAACGGG
rnacentral:rRNA from 1 species